rnacentral:rRNA from 1 species
AUUGAACGCUGGCGGCAUGCUUUACACAUGCAAGUCGAACGGUAACAGGGUGCUUGCACCGCUGACGAGUGGCGAACGGGUGAGUAAUGCGUCGGAACGUGCCGAGUAGUGGGGGAUAACGCAGCGAAAGUUGUGCUAAUACCGCAUACGUACUGAGGUAGAAAGUGGGGGACCUUCGGGCCUCACGCUAUUCGAGCGGCCGACGUCUGAUUAGCUAGUAGGUGAGGUAAAGGCUCACCUAGGCGACGAUCAGUAGCGGGUCUGAGAGGAUGAUCCGCCACACUGGGACUGAGACACGGCCCAGACUCCUACGGGAGGCAGCAGUGGGGAAUUUUGGACAAUGGGUGAAAGCCUGAUCCAGCCAUGCCGCGUGUCUGAAGAAGGCCUUCGGGUUGUAAAGGACUUUUGUCAGGGAGGAAAUCCCUAGCGUUAAUACCGCUGGGGGAUGACAGUACCUGAAGAAUAAGCACCGGCUAACUACGUGCCAGCCGCCGCGGUAAGAC